CUGUCCGUUCCCCUCUAGGGUGCGCCGGGGAAAUCAUGCCGUCAUCAGGACACCGGCUUCGGGAUGUCGAACAUCAUCCUCUCCUGGCUGAAAAUGACAGUUACGACUCUGCGUCCUCCUCUUCGUCGGAGGCUGACGUGGCCGACAGGGUCUGGUUCAUCCGCGACGGCUGCGGCAUGAUCUGUGCCGUCAUGACGUGGCUCCUGGUCGUCUAUGCGGACUUUGUGGUGACAUUCGUCAUGCUGCUGCCUUCCAAAGACUUCUGGUACUCUGUGGUCAACGGAGUCCUGUUUAACUGCCUCGCGGUGCUGGCCCUGUCGUCCCACCUGAGGACCAUGCUCACCGACCCUGCUCCACGCCCAGUGGGGAGCCCAUCCGUGGGGCUUGAACUCAUGACCCUGAGAUCAAGACCUGAGAUCAAGAGUCAGACGUUUAACCGACGGAGCCACCAGGCGCCCCUUUUUGUCGUAUUAAUGUACUUUAAGUGGCAACCACAGCAUUACGAAUUCUUUUACAAUGGGGCGGUCCCCAAAGGAAAUGCUACUAAAGAGUACAUGGAGAGUUUGCAGCUGAAGCCUGGAGAGGUCAUCUACAAAUGCCCCAAGUGCUGCUGCAUCAAGCCCGAGCGCGCCCACCACUGCAGGUACCACGGCCCCCCCCAGAGCAGCCCGGGCGCCCACCACUGCAGGGACCACGGCCCCCCCCAGAGCAGCCCGGGCGCCCACCACUGCAGUAUUUGCAAAAGAUGUAUUCGGAAAAUGGAUCAUCACUGCCCGUGGGUGAACAACUGUGUAGGAGAAAAGAAUCAGAGAUUUUUUGUGCUCUUCACUAUGUACAUAGCUCUGUCCUCAGUCCACGCUCUGAUCCUCUGUGGACUCCAGUUCGUGUCCUGUGUCCGAGGGCAGUGGACUGAAUGCAGUGACUUCUCACCUCCGGUGACUGUAAUCCUGUUGAUCUUCCUGUGCCUUGAGAGUCUUCUGUUUUUCACUUUCACUGCAGUUAUGUUUGGCACCCAGAUCCACUCCAUAUGCAACGAUGAAACGGAGAUCGAGAGGCUGAAGAGUGAGAAGCCGACGUGGGAGCGGAGACUGCGAUGGGAGGGGAUGCGGUCUGUCUUCGGAGGGCCCCCCUCCCUCCUCUGGAUGAACCCCUUUGUCGGCUUCCGGUUUGGGCGGCUGCAGACCAGACCCAGGAAAGGGGGCCCAGAGUUCUCUGUCUGAGGCCUCAUCAUGCCGGAACUUGUCAACAGACUUUAAGUUAUUUAUUUGGGGUCUGAAAGGGUAUCAGUAGCUCGCCUGUGAUCAUGAGGGCAGACGAAACCUACACAGACCAGCUGCUUGCAGCAAGCAGAGUUUUCUAUAUUUAUAAUCACAGAUUGCAGAAUUUCGAAACCAGUGAUGGGGGGAUGCUCUGGCCAGUUUUCGCCUGUAUGACUAACGAGAGGUACGUGGCCACGUGAAGAAGCCAAAUGUCAUUAUCUUCCUGCACAGUUAGGAUUUUUGUUAAGAACACUUCGCAUUUUCUAAGAAGUUGUGUGGGAUAUUCCAUGGGUGAUUAAAAUCCUGUGUAUUAAGCUGCUUUUUUCAAUCAUGAAGAAAAAAAAAGUCAAUCCAGUGAAUAGGAAUUCUCCAGCUAAUGGUUUCAGGGUGUUCCUGUUGACCCUGGGCUUCAUUAGUGCACUCCCUCGAGCAAGAAGGGGCGUUUACAUAGAAACACAUUUUGGUCUCAAUGAGCUCUGACACUUUGCACUGAAUAUGCAAAAGAUCUGUGCACUGAACAGUGAAGGUGGCUUUAGGUUCACUCCCACUGCCCUGGAAGAGGGGUGCUUUGACCCUUACAGCAAGUCUGUGUGUGUGUGUGUGUAUAUGUGUCUGUGCGUGUCUGCGAGUGUGUGUGUGCAUGUGUGCUUUAAAAUUGGCAGCGUUGUUUAGGUGACAUAACAGGUAAUAGCUGCGUGCAGCCAACGAGCUGUUUUUUUAGAAACCGACGUUUCAGGGAAGAGGGGAAAGCUGCCACGGGACAAGGCCCCGUGGGGUUUACUAUGAAUGUAUUGCAUUUUGGAGAAUAUCUUGAUCCAAAGAACAAUCACUCCUGUGUGGUCCUUCGUUGCCCUCGUUUUAACUUUAUUUUAAAGAUCUUGGGUGCGUGAGGGCCUUGGAACGGACGUGGUUUUUUCCCAGCCAAGUCAGCAGUGUACGGACGGCACCUCAGUGAGAGAACAAUGAAGGCUCGUGUUGGCCUAAUACUUUGUGCAGCUGGAUGUCGUUUUGGGUGUGGAGGAGGACGGGCCUGGCCACAGUGAAUCGCAGAGAGAGACAGCUGUGGGCCUCUGGGCGUCACUGAGAAUGUGAGGGGACCCCAAGGCAGAGCCCCUGGACUCUGAGCCUCACUCACUUGCAGAGAGUAUUCAGGAUGUCAACAGCUUUAUUUUUUGUAUCAUUUAUGUUUCUCUACGCACGUCACAAGCGAUGAAACAGGACCUUUGGUGCAGUGCUUAAAAUGCUAUCAGAAAGCAAACAGCUCCCCUCCUUGGGGACUCGCCUUAAACUUGGCCUGCUCUGUACCUGUUCUGCGGGACUCGUGAGGAAGCGAUCCAUGACACAGUCCAAGUCUCUCUUGCGAGCCUGCCUGCACGCUGAGAAGAGUUGGUGUUUCCUUCCUGGCUUUGACGCCUUUCCGUUCAUCUGUGAACUGUUCUGUUUCUGUGGGAAUUAAUCCAUAUCCUCUCCUAAUCAGGGCUUCUGCCACUGCUGAUGCAGAUCCCCAGGGGGACCUACCCGAGAUACAGCUGUUGCCAGAAUCUCAGGCACCUACAACUUCAUUCAACAAACCUAACGUUUGUGCUCGAGGGAGCCCAAGGGCCGUGAAGAGGGCGAUGGUGCCGGCACUCCGACCCACAGCACGAGGACCAGCAAGCUGCGCGCACGCCCACUAUGCCCGCCCGUGGGGAGGCCGCCCGCACACUCUCGCACGGGGUGCCUGCUGGCAUUUCGGAUGUGCCGGGGCCCGGACACACAGCCCUGAGCCCGGCGGCCAGGCCGGCAGCAGCUCUCAGGCUUCUGUUUGUGCAGGAUUUUGCUGCCACAUCCCCAGUCUUCCCCCAUUGGGCUGUGAGGGUAGACUCCUUAUCUAGAGGUAGGACGGUGGCAUUGAGGUGGAUAAUGGCAAUAUGACCCAAAUGCGAAGGUGGCCAAAUCCAAUCUUCUGGUGUAUGUGAACUUGGUUUGGCUGCUUAAGCAGAGAAAAGCAUCCUGUAAGGUGGCCCAGAAAAAGCCCCUGAAGAGGCGGGUGCCCAUCGAAUCCACAGUGUUUCCAAAGUAGCAUUCCGGUGUGCUCGGUGAAAGGGUGAGCUACUGGGAAGUCCUGACUGGGGACCAGAUUCAGAACCUCAGUGCUUCUUACCCAACUGAUAAGCAGAGACAGCCUGAAGACGCAAAGGGAAGAUACGCUGUCAUCUGUGGCUGGUUUUGCUUUCGAUCUGCCAAAGGAAGCACAGCUCGGCUGCCAGGCAUGAUGGGGAAGACCGGGAAAUUCUGCUUUCCCGGGGACCCGUGGUUUCCCAGGAUUCCUGGCCUGCUCCCCCUCCCCUCCCCACUCACCCAGCAUGUUCACAGACUGACAUUUUAUUCCUUGUAUAGUUUAUGAAGGCUAGAUAAAAAAACUAAGCUAAGUAGGGUCCUGGGACACACAGUUUCCCGCUUUUCCUAGAGCUAGAAGAGCGGUGUGUGCCCUGGUCCCCACUGCUAGGUCUUCCUCGACCCCAGCAAGCCUCUCUGGUCCCGGGGUGGUUCUGCCUGGCCUCCCCGACCCACUUCUGUUCCCGGAGCCCGGCUUCUCCAGGGUGCUGCGCAGCCGUCGUCCUGAAGCACGUGUGUUCAAGCCCCCUUUUCCUGGGCUCCACAUCCAGAUCCUGCAGCUGAUGCAGAACAUUCUCUGCUGGUUCCUUGAAAAGGGUUGUUACCAGUCAAGGUUUUCAACAUGGUGGCCUGUUGGAAAAUGCCUUUAUUCUACCCUCACCUUGGCUGGCGGACUGUGUAGCCGGAUCGCGGGUUCUAGUUUUGGUCUUUUCAUUCCCCCUGUUGGGAGCGCCAUUCCAUCGUCCACCCCCACCUCCAGCCCCCACCCCAGCACAGCCGCUGAAAGGGUCUGUGCCCCCUUCUUCCCAUGUUUGGCCUCACGUGUCUGCCUGCGUUUUCAACCACAGGAAGCCUUUUUGUCCUCUUGCUAUCGGAUCCUCAGGUGUCCCCGUGGUUGGACUGGUAUGCGUGCACCCCUCCUGUCCCAGACACCCCUCCGUUUUUCAGUCCCAGCAGGUAUGAUGUCACAUAUCUUCGGGAACUCCAUCCUCUCCAUUUUCUUGUUUUCCUAACUCUUACAGAUUGAAUGUUGCACUGCCUAGACUGGUCCUCUGAUUUUCUUAACUGUCUAUGCUCUGUUUUCUGAAAAUAGUCUUAAUUUUGUCUUCUAGCUGAGUAUUUGAUUUAGGCUAUGAUAGUUUUAAUUUCUAAGGGCCCUUUAUUAGUUCCUUUGUCCUUAUUUUCUUUCUUAAACACACACACACACGGCUUUUUAAAAAGUGGGUUUAGAUUCCCAGCAUAACUGAGGGGACGGUUCAGUGGGUUUCCAUAUGCCCUCUUUCCCCACCAUCAACAUCCCCCACCAGAGGGUACCUCUGUCACAGUUGAUGAGCCCACGCUGACACAUCACCACCCAAAGCCCAUAGUUUACAUUAGGGUUCGCUCUUAGUGUUAAUUCAGUGGGUUUGGAACAAUGUAUAAUGACAGGCGUCCAUACACAGAGUAUCUUCACUGCCCUAAAAAAGCCUCAGCUCCACUUAGUCCUUCCUUCCCCUCCACCCUGCCUGGCAGCCGCUGAUCUUUUCACUGUCUUCAUAGUUUUGUCUCUCAGAAAGAAGGUCAUCUAGUUGGAAUCUUACUGUACGUGGACUUUUCAGAUGGGCUUCUGUCACUCAGUGACAAGCAUGUAGGUUUCCUCCAUUUCUUCACGGCCUCAUAGCUCAUUUCUUUUUAGCGCUAAUAUUUGAUUAUUGUGGUGUGCCACAGUUUAUUUAUCCACCUCCUCAAGAGCAUCUUGCUUGCCCCCCAGCACUGGCAGUUAUGAACAGAGCUGCUAGAAACAGCUACAUGCUGGUAUGGACCUAAGUUUUCAACCCGUGUGUUCUGCCAGGAGUUGUAGUUUCCGGGUCUUCCGUUGGAGUUGAUGUUUGUGUAUGUGGGAAGGUAAGGGGUCCAUUUUCAUUCUCCUGCAUGUAGAUAACCAAAUUUCUCAACUCCACCGUUUGUUGAAGAGACUGUCCUCUCCCCAUCAUGUGUUUCUGGCACCCUCUGUCAAAGAUCAGUUGACCAUACAUGCCUGGGUUUAUUUCUGGACCCUCCAUUCUGUUCCGUUGGUCUAUAUAUCUGUCUCUCUGCUGGUACCAUACUGUAUUGAUUCCUGUGCCUUCAAAAUAUAUUUUGAAAUCAGGAAGUGCGAUCGUCAGCUUUAUUCUUUGCUCUCAUGAUUGAUCGGCCAUUUUUAGUCUUCUGUGGUUCUGUAUGAAUUUUAGAAUUGUUUUUUCUAGUUCUGUAAAACAUGCCAUUGGGACUUUGAUGGGGAUCACAUUGAAUCUAUAGAUCAGUUUGGGUAGCAUGGACAUUUUAGUAAUUCUCCUUCCAAUCCAUGAACAUGGGAUGUCUUUCCAUUUGUGUCUUUCAUUUCUUUCAUCAAUGUUUAUGGAGUUUUUCACUUCUUAGUUUAUUCCUAAGUAUUUUAUUCUUUUUUAUGUAAAUGGGAUUGUUUCCCUAAUUUCCUUUUCAGGCAGUUUGUUGUUAGUGUAUAGACACGUGACUUUUUGUAUAUUGAUUUUGUAUCCUGCAACUUUUAUUAAAUUAGCUUUAACGGGUUUUUUUUUUUUUUUUUUUGGAGGUUUUUUUGCUUUGUUUUGGGGGGGAAUCUUUAGAGAGUUUUUGAUAUAUAAGAUCAUGUUACCUGCAGACAGGGAUGGUUUUAUUUCUUCCUUUCCAAUUUGGAUGCAUUUUAAUUUUUUGUGGUUCAGUGCUCUGGUUCGGACUUCCAGUACUAUGUUGAAUAAAAGUAGUGAAAGUAAAAGGCACCCUUGUCUUGUUGCAGAUUUUUACUGCUGAGUAUGAUGUUAACUGUUGGCUUUUCAUACAUGAUCUUUAUUAUGUUGAAGUACUUUCUAUUUACAGUUGAGAACUUGGUUUAUUGUUUUUAAGCAUGAAAGGGUGUCGAAUUUUGCCAGACACCUUUUCUUCAUCUGUUGAGAUGAUUGUGUGAUUUUUAUGCUUUAUUCUGUUAAUGUAAGUGAAUCACAUGAAUUGAUUUUUGUUUGUUGAACCAUCCUUGUAUUCAGGGGAAAAUACCACUUGGUCCUGGUGUAUGUUUCUUUUAAUGUGCUGUUGGAUUUGGUUUGCUAUUGUUUUGUUGAGGAUUUUUAUAUCUGUUUUCAUAAGGGACAUUGUUCUGUAGUUUUUUUGUAGUAUCUGUGUCUGGCUUUGGUGUCAGGAUAAUGCUGAUCUCAUAGAAUGAGUUUAGAAGUGUUUCCUCCUCUUAAAAUUUUUUUUUAAA